GGGGGGUGGAAGGAGGGUGGGCACGGGGACCCCUCUUGAGCCUCUGCGGGGCUGCAGGGGCAACCCGCCCAGGUGCGGACUGGCGCGGGGUAUCUGCCCGCUGCCCCGGCACACCAGCGUCCAGGCGGCCUCCGAGAUGGGUAACUACAUAGAGCACAAUUUGCCCCUUUACCGCAGCGCCAGCAGCAGAUUUUGUUAAAAGACUCCGUUAUCAAACUCGGUCUUUUCAGUGAGAAACAGCCGAUUUUAAAGCCCGGCUGUAAAGAUUUUUAACAGCUUAGCGAAUAUCACAGAUAAGGAAAAUCUGGAAGAUGCUCCCAGGACAUCAGACCUUAAUGGGCUUCUGCAGCGGCGGAGGGAGCUCCAUUCUGUUCCCUGUGCGUAUUAUACUGCAGACAGGAUUCGAUAUAUACUCUAUUUAAUCUUGCUCUGUGACAGAGCUGUUUAAGUGUAUACCAUGCCUACAUUCUUUGUAUCAAGACCAAAAGGAUGCAUUGUUGAAAGAAAACUAUUCAAAAUCUUUCAUCUGAUAGAAACGAUCCAGCAACUGUGAGGCAGCUACGGCACAAUGGUUCUGUCUACAUAAUAGGUAUCUCAUAAAAAUACAGCGUGUCAUUGCAACAAAAAGUUAAAAGUCUUAAAUGUAUCCAUCUUAUAUAUUGCAUGAAGUCAAUAAUAUUCUAACCUUGCCUGCACCCCGCCAUUAAAUGGUACACGGCACUUUAAUAUCGAGAGCAUUGUGAUUGAAAUCCCAGUCUCUAGCAAAGAAAGAGGGGAGCAAGGUAAGUUAAGCGAGGACCAUUACGGAUGUAAUGACCUCAGGGUAAAUAUUCAUUAGGAAGAGGAGAUUCCUCUUCUAAUACCCAGUCUAUUUUCUUUGGAAUGCAAUAUCACGGAGUCUAAUGUAGUAGCAAGUCCCAAGAUUUAAAAGGAGAUUAUUGCCAAGUGUGUUGGAUCGAGUUUAGGGGCUUUUUUUCCAGACACUUUUCUCAAGUGGGACGCUAAUGCAAAGAAUAGGUUAGAAAAAUCACCUUUCUCGUUUUAUUCGGGUGGCUAGAGAAGCUUGUUCCUUGCUUGGCCCCAGGUAGGAGAAAGCAGAGAACAUUUAAGCAGGGCUGUUAGCAGCCCUGCAUCUCUCUCUUCCAUUGGUAGGUGCAUUUAGCCGGUGGAAAGGGAGACAGCAGACAACCCCGGGGACAGAGCUUGCCUCCUGAACCACACUUCUCUUUCUGAAGAACAGUAGCUCCGACCUCCAAACCAACAGAGACUGGAAUUUUAAAGUAGCUGUGAACAGCGCCCAUGUGUCUUAACAGGGUCACAUAGGAGAUUUGAGCCUUUUAAUUUCCAGACAUAAGGAAUUACUCGCUCGAUGGCCAGGUUUGUGUUUUGUUUUGUUUUGUUUUGUUUUUUUAAAUAAGAGAAAAAGGGAAGCUGAGUACGAUUCCCUUAUACACACAGCAAAAGAAUAGGAGGGAGAAAAAGCAGAGCCGGGGCACAUCUGGCUGUGGGAGACUGCCCCGUGCUUCUAGCCGCUCUGUUGUCCCCGGCGGGAUGGCGGCCAGGGCGGGCGCGGCGCUGCCGGGGGCUCCGGGGGCUGCUUCUGGCCCGGCCCGCGCCCUCGCCCUGUGCGGCAGCCAACGGGCACGUCGCCUGGUGUGACCUUCAGGGAGCACAUUUCAACUGCUAAACAUCGAGAAAAGUGCUUCCCCAGCUCGCAGGCGCCAUAUUAAUGCCGGGAGCCGGGGCUGGGGCGGGGGGAGGGAGGUUUCGCAGUUGGUCUAGAUUUACGCAGUUGUUAAUUCAGACUGGAGGAGCUCUCGACGGCUCCGUAAAAACAAAAAGUACUUUGAGAUUCUUCUCCCGCUUCCACUCCCCGCGAGGCGAUGAGCUUUGUAAUAUUGAUACCUGCUCUGGGACCCUGCAGAGCGUCCUUCCCCUCCCCGCCCGGUAGGGAAAGGGGUGGGCGGGGGUCGAUCCCAGGGGGGCGCUGGACUCCACGGGGUCCCGGCCAGGGCCUCGACACUUGCCUCGCCGGACACCCCAUACAUCCCCUGGCAUCGUCUGAAGCCGUUCAGCUCUCCCCGACCUUGCUGCUUGCACGGGAGGCUGGAAGCAGCAAAACUGAAAAUAUCCCCGUAUCUCCCCCUCCAUGCAAGAUGGUUUCCCAAGCUGUGGGUCUGCACCUGGCUGAGCUCUCUGCUCCCCCAGCUAGUACUAAGACCUGCUGCUUAGUCAAUAGCUCUGUUUUGCCUUUUUGCUCUCCCCCCCCCCUUUUUUUUUUCUUGUAAUGUGAAAACAAACAAACACCCCCCCCUAAAAAAAUACAAAAAAAAAAAAAACCAAACCAAAAACCAAACUUUUGCAAAUGGGCAGAAGUGGACGAAGCACUACCGCAAUCUCGGCGGGGACACAGGGAAGUCGGACAGAACCGCUCCUUCCCGGGGCCGUGGGGCCGGUGCUGUCCUAAAGGUUCAAGUCCCCCUCAGGAUUCCGAAACAAAGGCAGCCCAGCUCAGCUCCGCCACGCACAAACCUCCAUUGUAACUCUGGGCUUUCCCCCCCCCGCCUUUUUUUUUUUUUCCCUUUGCCCUGUUUUCCAGCCUGCGAUUCCUGAAGGUCAGACGGGGAGGUCAUGGCUCUGCAUCCCCUAUAAAUAGAUUUUGAUAUUUAGACAGCUAUUGCUACUCAAUAUUAACUUACAGGAUAAUGGCGAGAGAUACCGUAUGCGCUGAACCUGUUAUUCACGAGUGAGCAGCAUCUGUCGAAUACAAUUCUCGUCUUUUCGCCCUGUUUGGCUAUAGCGCAAAUCAAUAGGGCGAAGGACGUCUUGAGGCUGGGGUGGGGACGGUGAGCAGGACGGCUCUGCGGGGACACAGUUGUAAGGACAGUGUUGAAACUAUACAAGGACUCCAGACAGCUGGAGUCAAGAGCCAGGUAGGCAAAGACCAGCUCCGAGUGAGCGGAGGAAAAAUUCAAGAGCGGCUGAUGGAAAGCUUCCAGCGCCGGGUUUUUUUCUAGGCUUCUGACACUUCACUUUAAACCACAAUGAAUGCUGCUGAGGUGGAAGGGUCUCCACUCCGCACUUUCACAGUCCGAUUUCCUCUGUUUCUGACUUUAGAAAUAGUGAGUUCCAGAUAGAUCCGAAGCAGAGACUCGGAGUUCACCACUACCCCUCUCGCUGUUUAUGUCGCAUUCAAGGGAAGGCAAGGUAUUCGGCUGAGAGUAGUAUUUUGAAGGAGCACUAAGAAUUCUUGUUUCCAUGUCACAGAGCAUCACCUUUUGUCUGACUCUCCUUUGCCUUUCGCCACCCGUAAGGCAGUAAGGCUUUUACCCUUCCCAGCCGUCCUGGGUACCGGCACUUUUCUUGACAGCAUCGCUAAAAUGAAAUUCACGGCCGGGACUCCUGUUGAGGCUUCAGAGCAAAUUCACUCGCACCCGGUUACUCGCCGGGAUGCGCCGAGAGGAGCCGGCCAGCGCUUUGGUAGCUGGUGGACCCCUCCGUCGUGUGCGACCUCCGCGGGCAGCGGCGGUCCUUGCGCUGGUGGGGGGGCGUAGGGGAGACCAAGCCCCUGCGGGACGAGGAUGGAGAGGGGGGCAGGCUGAAUAUACCACUUCUCCCCCGUGCUCCGCUUUUCGGGCUCACGUGUGGGUCCUGCGCCUUCUGCAAAGCAAAAGCCCCGUGUCACUGGCGAGAGCGCAGCUCGAGAAACUAGUUUUAAUCUUCUGUAGCAGGAUAAGAAAACACAAGCGCUUCCACCUACUUAACUGGGCAUGAGGGAAGGGGGUCGUGAAGGGGGCCGAUUGUUGCUCUCGCGUGAAUUUUGUGGUUAAAAGACGUAGCCUGAGGAAGGAAAGGGAGCAGAGAGACACUGAAUGGUUUAAUUUAAUCAAUAAAGUGUCUGAAAGUGUUGUCGAGAUUUGCUUCUCUCCCUUUACUCGUUUAACACGGUCUUCGGGGUUCGCGCUUAAAUUUUGGUAGUUGUGCGUGUGCAUGUAUGUUUCGGGGGUAGUGUGCUUCUUAUUUUAAGAAAAUGGAUUAUUGCCAAGGAAGAGGCAAAAAAGGGGCAGUUUUAAGAUGCUACGGCUCCCUAAAUCCUUGCGGUUUUACAACCAGCCCAAGCAGCAGUGAAACAAACUUUGUGUCAGAAGUUUCCUGACGCUCAGAAGGGACCAGCGUGUCUCGCUGCCCGAUCGGCAACCCGCGGGCUUUGCUCCGGCGGGGAGGGACGCCACGGGAGCCGCCACCGCCGCCCCGCUGGCACUAGCCGGACCGGUCCCACCAACCCAGGCGGCCAGCUGGGACACUGAGUGGAGGGCUGGAGGACACGGGUGGGAGCGGGGACCCAGCAGCCCCGGCCAGGGCUCAGGCAGCCAGGCAGCUGUCCUCCUCCGGGGCGCGCCGAGGCAACGGUGAACGCCUUUUGCCCGUGGAAGGGAGCGGGAGUGCUUGUGCCAUGAGCCCGACCGAAGGGACGAACGUGAUUUUUCUGGGUGGUACCUUGGCUCGCCAGGGAGGGAAGAUGCCACCUCCCCCACUUAGGCCUACUGCGCCCGGUGCUUCACCCCGGGAGCUCCGGGGGGUGCCGGGAGGUGGCCGGCCCAGCCCCCCAGAGGCUGCAGGGCGGAAAUCAUGUGCUCCCCCCAUCUCGGGGAUCUCUUUGACCUGAUGUGCUGCUUAGGGCGAGCUCUUACGGAAGUUGUCCUCGUAAGUGAAAUCGGAGUUUUUGUGAGCUGCAGUCCCCAUACAUUUUUAACCACAGUGAUUACUAAAUUAAUAGCAGGCCCUAAGACAGAUGUCAAAACGUCUUUAAAAUGUUUAUCUGUGAAUAAUUGAGAAGGUGGUAAGACGCAUUAUCUGAUUGUAUAAUGAAAUAUGUAUGAGGAACAGCUGUUUGCAAUAGUCACCUCCCGUUGUUUCAUUAGCCUAGAGCCUCCUUUUUAAAGAAGCGCUUCCCUGAAGUUGCCCAUUCAGCACCGACCGCUUCCACCAGCGCACGGCGGCCGAGCCGUGCUCGCAGGAGCCGCGUCGGGGAAGGAGGAACCCGUUCCCCUAAAUCGCCCGAAAGAGGAAAGGAAAGCACGUUUCUGCGUCACGACCACCCCGAGCCGGGCCAGUCCAGGCGGAUCGGGACGGCCCCAUGAUCAUGCCCGGGGGAUGCUGGCGCCGAAGGGAAAUCGGCCCCCACCGCAGAGUUCAGUCUCCAGCCAGGAGUGAAGACUUGUACAAAGAAAAAUCACUGUAUAAACAUCCCGCCCAAGAAAGGAAAGUUUGCCCUCACUCCAUCUACAGCAUCUUCCUUUGUAGCCAUAUACAGUAUGCGGCAGAGCAAUUUGGAAAAGAUUCAUCUAUCAAGUUUAACAACUUUCUGGUGUGACUUCAGAGAGCUUUAUUGCUUAUUCAUGUGGAACACUGAAUAUAUUUAUACCACUCCUGCAUUUGGGGAUGCCCAGAGGAACCCUUUGUGCUAGCCAAAAUAAUGAUAUAUGUUAAGAAAGAACCUCCGAUGGCACCUGUGAUUAAAAUGAACACUAACUAAAAAUGGAUGGGUGAGUAGAAAUACUGUUAUUACCUUCUUUUAGGUCAGAGGAAGGAUGACCAAUUUAGACUUUAAGGCAACCUCAGAAAUAAAACACACCUGCCCAGGACUCAGGGGUCGAGGAGACAAUCCUGCUUUCAGGUUUCUGUUCCUUUUUUAGUAGUCCACUAUCUUUUUUUUUGGGACAUAAUACUUGAGCUCACAAAAUGUAUGUGCAAGAAAAAACAGUUUUUGACAACAUCCACUCCAAAUCUGACUGCAGAUUGUACUUUGGAGUCACUUUUCCUUAGUUUUCUCUGCCUUUUCAAUGAAUACUUAGAAGAAGUGUCUCAGUUCCUGGGAAACUGAGAUUUUUAAAAGAAGCUUAUUUCCCUUUUCUAUGAUACUAAAGCAGCAUCUUCAGAUUUUCCUUCAUUUAAGACCUAGAGAGUGCAAAAGGAAUGAAAUGCUAGAACCAAAAAAGAACACGUGUUUUGCAGUGAAUGCUGAAGGAUCCAUUUUAUCCGACAAAGUCUAAUUUUUUUGAUGUUGAGGGACAGCAACACCACUUUAGUUCUUCCUGUGAACUAGGAAGUAGCUGAGUUUAUUUUUAUGUGAUUUUUCUGCUACUUGUGUCCAGGUGGUAUUUUCUUUAUCAGUGAGGACAAGAGGUUGUAAAUAUUGAAGUGUCACACAGCAUAAAAUUCUUACUUGACUUCUUAUUAAGAGCCAGGGUGCAAGUACUUUAAGGUAGAAUAUGCUUUCCUCUUCUCCUGUUCUCUAUAACAACUUCCACCUUUUUAUAAAAACACCACUGCAAGGCCUGUGCAUCCUUAUAACCAUUCCAAUUCCACAGUGUUUCACCCUUAGGAUUUAAGUGUUCAGACACUCUGUGAUGACUUUCUGUGAGGAUGCAGCUUUAAAUCACUAUGCCUACAAAACAUAACCACUGGGAAAAAAGGUCUUUUCUGACUUACCUUAAAGUCCUGUCAGUCUUAAGGAAAAGUGUGCAGUGAUUUCAUCAGCUUUCCCAACAAACAUUUUCAACACUUAUUGGGAAAUGUGAUUAUGUAGGUGUCGAGGGUUUAGAUUGUGGGGUGACAAUAAAACCCUGGCAGAUGUAUUGUUAACCUCCUCUCCCCCCCACUUCCCCCUUUUGCCCCUCCCUCUCCCCCCUUCCCACUAAGGACAGGCGAUCAGGAGGAAAAGAAGGACAGAGACAAGAGAGUUGGAAAAAUUAAAAAUGUUUUACUAAUGCUACUAGUAAGAAUAGAGAAAAUAAUACAAAAUAUACAAAACCAAUCUUGAAAGUCUCAGCAACUGCAGAGCCGGCAACCAAAGUCCUGGAUUAGACUCUGCAGCCAACCGGAGCUGGAUUCAGUCUGUCACGAGGCCUCAGUUUGCAGGGACAACUAGCAAGGUCCUCUCCUAAUGUCGGCCAUAAGUAGAAGGGAUGAAAAAGAAGGAAAAAGGGAUGAGAUCCUUGUGAUCUCCCACUUUUAAAUGAAGUAUUCACAUGGAUGGAAUGUUAUACACAAUUGGUCAGUUUCUUGGCCACCUGUUUCUUGUUGCCUCUCUUGUGAGAUGUGAAUCUGUCCUUAUCAAUAACUUUGCAUUCCAUUGCUAUGUUUAGCAAAACAUGCAUCUGGUUCUCCAGGAAAAUGCAGUUAAUAUGAAGCUUUAGCUGACAUGCAAAUUCACUAGAAGAUAAACUUGUUUUUAACAAAACCAGGACAGUAGGCAUAGAUCACCCAGUAUUUUGUAUUGGGCAGAGUUCAGAACUUAUUUUCUUUCCAAGGCAAAGUUACAGGGAAAAGAAACCUCUUCUACUAGAAUAGCUGAUACUAAUAGCAGGAGGAAGUUUUUUGUAUAUGAAAGAAGACUGGUGCCUAUGAACUUAUCCCUCCAAGUUAAACAGUUGGUCUAAAAUAAAAUACUGCCUCUUCCUGCAGUUCUUAUUUUCUUAGACCGUUUUAACUGCAACAUCAAUAAUAUUGCCAUACUUUGCUGUAGGUGUGAACAAAAUAAACUUAUAAUGCUUUUGAGAUGAAUUCUUGUCAUGCCUCUAGGCCUUUGUACUGCUGUUUGUCUGCAGUUGGCGCUCCCCUGGAAGUCAGUGGAGGCUCUAUGCUUGGACCUAAAGCUUUACAGGCUUUCCCUUAAUGCUGUCCCAGGAGGACAAAUAGACUUUUCUCCAGUUCACUCUGCAGCCCACAGAAUUUUACCCUCAUAUAAGUUUAUUGGGUUUACUACCUAUCAUAGUGAAAGCUACUGUGUUCUGCUACUUGAGCUUUCAAGGAGCUCUAAAGAACCUUUGGGACCUCUACUGCUUUCAAGAUCCUUUCUUCACACUAAGAGUAGUGUAAAUUUAGCUGUUGAGCAGGGUGAGAACAUGGAUCUGAGAGUUUAGCUUGCAACGUCCUGGUGCUGCACCAACCUUCAGGAAGGUAGCUGUGUGUUCCGCAGGCACGAGCCCAGAGCAACCUGCACUUUUCUUCAGAGACACACGCUGAAAGCUCUCUGGGUGUGAAGAAAGCAAAUCCACAUUGAGCCUUCAUGCAGAAUUUGCCAGUCUUGCACCUAUUUUGUAGCAUGGCACUGCAAGGACUUCAGCUUUUCACAUCUAUUUAUUUGGUUGGACUGCUUAAAGCCUUUAGAAUACAACAGUAUUCUGAGUGCCCAAAUGCCACAUGGGACAGUUUGUCUUUGUGAAAACACAGGGAAAAAUGGAAAUAAAACAGCUUCCCUAAAGGCCUGUUUAUAAGAUACACUGUUGCUUGUGGCUUGUUUUGCAUGAAGGGCAUAAUUUAUCCUAGUGUUUGACAUAUAUGAAGAUACAAACCUAUUCUUCACCAGUAUCAAAAGGGAUGAUGUGUGCAAAGAUCUACAGCCCAAGUUGCUUGCAAAGGUUAUCAACUGCUUCAGAUUAAGCACAUCUAACAUCACUGGGACCAUACUGGAUAUUGUAUUAUCAUCCUUUUAAAAACAGUUUUUCUUGUAUGUAUAUAUUUAAUAUGCUUAUUCUUGUAUAUAUAUAGAAUAUUUCACUUGAAAAACAAAACACUGAAACAAAACCAGCAAAAUUUUUCCUGUGGAAGUGGUCUACCUGAUAAUAAAAUUCAAGUGUUUCUUUCUAAAAGAUAUUUUAGAAAGGUUCUAAGUUACAGUAGGAAAAGAAAGAUUCAAUCUGUCCUUUUCAAGAGCAGUUGGUUGGUGCCUGAUUUUAGUCCAUUUUGGUGGGAAAAGAGCUAAGGCAUCAUCACAGUCCAGAGCAAUUUUACACAUAAGCAUAGGUGGAUUUCCUGGUGAACACUUAAGGCUGUUGCAGCCCCUCUCUUGUGUCCUCACUCGAUCACAGGCUAAAUUGUGUCCAGGUCUCUGCUCACUACACACAUUGUAGGUGCAAUCAUCCCUAUGUAAAUCUCUUUGUGGAUCUGGGCCCAAGUGUUUUUGAAAAUCCCACCCACAUGGGACACCCGUAGGUCAAAUGAAAAAUUGCAUAAGCUAUUAACUAAAUCUAUAGCUUAUAAAAAGUUACCCACAAGAAAGGUACACAGGUUAGUGCUGCUCCAGGGCAUCCUUAAAUCACACUUCAGCAAGUUAUAAAGUUAUCUUUGGAGAGAAAUCAUACCAAGUUGUCAGCCCUAUAAGCAUAGAUUUAUGUGUUUCUGACAUGUCAGUUGUCGUCUUUGCCACUUCAUUGCAGCUAUGAUAUUUCAGCAGGAGGCAACCACUGCUAUUCCCCUGCCUGGAAAUCCACAGAACUUUCCUCUGUAAACAUUUCUUACCCUGGGUAUUUCCCCAUCACAGAGCUGCAUCUCUGAAUUCAUCUGCGUGUUUGCUUAACUCUCACUCACAGGUCAGUGCUUGUUUGUCUCAAUUUUUUAUCUUUUUAAUCUCAAUUUGUGUAACAGAAAGUGCAUGGACAAACCUUUUGCCCACAAAAGACUGCGUAGUUCCUAGGUUUUUUUUGCUAUCCGUAUGAUUGAAAACGAGGUGCCUUUUUUUUUUUUUUUCCUGUGGAAAUUAUACGGAUCAUCAUCCUGCACUGGAAAAGUUACAGUCUUCAUUGAGAAGGAGCCUAAUCUAGUGAUUUUGUUGGUGAUCUGUACUGUUGUUGCAAUAUUUUUGUUGAGAUUUCUUCCAGGAUUUGACUAAUUUCUCCAUAUAUUCUCCUGGAAAACAAUUUUACAGGUUGGAAAAAUAUUUUCUUCUGGCUGAGUCUAAAGUGAAAAAUUAAAGAAUGGAAACUCCUGGGGUGAUCUUAAACAAAAUUAGUUCCCAGAGAAAGAGGUCUUAAUUUUCCUGAAAGGAGAGGACGGUGGCAAUGAUGAUGCCAGGCAGCAGACUGCAUUCUGAUUUUGGUUAUGCCAGAGCCUGAACCCGCACCCCAGGUUCACAGCCAUGCACACAGAAUUUGCUCUGGUAGACAUAGGCUAGAGAGAAUAGUGUGUGAUCCAGUACAAAUCCUUAGCCUAAGCGAUAUGACAUUCCUCAUAGUCUUAACUUUUGUACAAAAUGCCCCCUGGAGAGAUGUUUAGAGAGUUUCCAUUUCAGCAAAUGAUAUUUUGCAUAUUCUUUGGAGAUCCCACAUAGGUAGUGCAAUCGUACUCAGCUGUGAACUGACCACGUGGAUUGAAUAUGACUCAGCUGCUCUCUGGGUUAGAAAUGCAGGCUAUUUUAAAUCAGCAGUCAGUAAGAGAAGCUGAGGUAGGGCUAGGAAGGGGAGAAAAUACAUCUUCCCUUCAGAACUGUCAUUUUGGUAUUGCUGUACAGUUGUACAAUAUUAGCAUCUUACACCGGUGUAUAGUGGAGAUCUGCUUCAUAACAACAGAUUCUUUCUAUAAAAACAAACUCUCUCUAAACACCCUUGAGAGUGUUCCACCAGAAUUAAUACUCAAAAGCUAGUAAGAAGAUGUUCUAAAAGUGCUAAUGGUAUCACUUCUGGAAGCUCUGGGUUAUUUCCUUUCUCUCAUUAUGGCACACCAAAACUUAGGGAAGCCUCAUACCACUUUCCCCCUAAUUAUAUGUUUUAAUUUCCUGUUGUCUCCACUGAACUUUGUUACUAUUCCCUUUAUUUUACUGAUCUGAUUAUUUCCUUUAGCCAUACUUGCCUAUUGCUAUCUUCCUCAUGCUGGGAACAACUUGUUUUUACUAACCACCAGAAGGCCUUUUUAUUUCUCUUUGGAAUGCUUUUUGAAAAUAACUUAUCUUUUGUCAUUAACUCCCCUCAGAUAUUUGGUCAUGAUUUAUUCUGAAGUUGUCUGUCUCCUUUAGACUGUGAGUAUUUUACAAGGUAAAAUAUGUCUGAUCUCACUGUGAAUUGUUUAUAGGAUUCAGAGCAGAAAUAAGUGAGACGAAGUAAACCCACCCAUGAAACUUCCCAGGAUUUCAUUGAUGCUCCAGUUCUCUCCUGUAGCAAACCCAAGUGCUUUUUGAAGGUUUGUUUUUAUACAAACAAACAAACAAACACAACAACAAAAGAAAUGUGCAGCAUGUGAUCUCUGCUAACAUACUCAGGUUCAAAUUCCUGACCUGCUGUCUCUCUAACUAGAGAUGACUGUGCCAAUUCACUCACAGCCUCAUAGUUAUCCUAGGGCAAGGUGCAUUCCACAGUUCCUGCUAGAGAUUAUCUACUUCCUAUAACAACAGAUUCUUCAGAGAAUUAUUUAAAUUUGCAUCUUCACAUAUUAGGUGAACAUCCCGACAACUGCGUACCGAACUGCACUGAGACUGAGCUGCACUUUUUAAUGAAAAUUCAUUUCCUUGAAAAAUUCCCAAUCAGCUUUAAUUUGGAAGCUGCAGCUGAGCUCCCACUGUGAGACACAUAUCAUAAGAGACAGAUCUUGCUGUGAAGGGCUGGCAGGUUGGCGAGACGAAGGCUGGGAAGAAAAGCACAAUAGAAAAGUGAAAUAGCUUCCUCUGAAUCACGCAAUGGGUCAGUGGCAGUUUUAGGUCUUCCUAGUGCCAGCCACAGCCCAUACUACCUCUCGCAUCCCGAGCUUACAGACAGUCUACGCUUUCCCCCGGCCAUCUUUUCAUUAACUAGAUUAUCCUUGCAUGUAUAUUAACGCAUGGAUGCACAAGUUCAGCAGUUUUGAACCUUACUGCUUGUGAGGCAUCAUGGACAUAGAUGGCACCAUCAAAAACUUUGAGGUAACAGAUAACAAGGAUGUCAAGGCAACAUGCUAAAAAGGUAGACCCUGGUGCACCAGAGCAGGCAAGGGGACAAGAAAAAUCAAGUAUUGUUCAAACAGAAGUGUGUCAGUUGCUCUGAGCAAGGUAAGAAAUAUUACUCAUGUUUCACAGUUCAGAAAAUCUGGCAUAAAUUGCUGCAUCUGAGCCUGUACAGGUUGUUAAGCCAAUAUCAGGGUUAGAAUGUGAUGCCUUACUCAAAAUCAAACUUUUCCUUUCAGAAGCUCCCCUAUGUCCCUAAGACUCAGAGAAUUUUUAUUCAAGAGCAUUAUUUUUCCUUCUGGUCCUAUACUGACUAGCAGAAACAGAUUAGAGACAACUUGUUGUAUUUUAUAAAUAGUGUAACAAUGUAUUUUGUAUGUUCUUCCCAAGAGCUUCCUGAAACUAAAAUUUCUCUUGGACGACAGCUGGUCUGUGCCCCUGAGGAAAAAGAUGCUUAUGGCAAGGCUGAGGUUAAUGAUUUUAAUUUACAGUUUUUGUGGGAUUAUCAUUUUGCUUCUGCAGAAAUCUCUGUCUCUCCAUUGUUUUAAAAAAGCAAAUAUACUUAAACAAAGCUUUACAUUUUAUUACCCCAAAACACAUGUAAUUUUGUUUGACUAGAUCAUGUCGGUACGUUAAUAAAAUAAUUGUUAUUCCAAACAUGCUUGGUGAACUUGAAUAGCAAAGUGAAGUUUAUAUAUUUAAUCAAAUCUAUUCAGUAAUUCUAGUGGAAAAUGCGGAAGUGUUUUCCAUCAAUAUUUCCUUGACUUUUGAAAUGAAUGUACAUUGCCUGAGUUCUCAUUCUCGUAGAUCCUUUUUCUAUCCAUAUCCAAACAAUUGAAUUUCUUUGUUUGAAUUUUUGCAGAGGUUGAAAAGGAAAAAAAAUUCCAAAAGGUCACAUGGGCAACUCUUCUUGUUGGAAGCUCUUUUACAGAUAUCUGCUCAAGAGGAGGAAACAUCAUGCAGCUUUUCAAGCCAUGAGUUGUAAGGAGAAAGUAGCAGCUGAACAAAACCUGUUCUUUCAACCAAGGAGCAAAGCAACAGGCCAGAGCCAGAGCUGGUAGCCCUUGUGCUGUAAAUCCACAUAAAUUCAACUAAGACCAAGUACUUGUGAAUGCUAAAUUCACACUAGUGUAACUGGGAGAAGAAACGGGCGUUUCUUUUUGAACUCGCUCAAGUCCAAACUGAAAAAAAAAUAGCAGGGUUUAACCUUUAAACUUUUCACUGACCUUUAAAAAGUACUUUGGAUUAUAUCUACCCCCAUUAAUCUGAAGCCACUUGCAAACAUAAUUGGCAUUCCUGUUUUUUUUAAGUAUACCUUACACAUAUUAUAGAACAGGUUAACAACUUGAAACUUUAGCUCCUGUUCGUUAUGUCUUUAUAACCUUUUAAAGUGAUGUUCAUAUUUGCAAACACAUUUUUAUCAUUUGCAGCAACACAAACAAUGCUUUGUGUCAAAGUGCAUUACUGAGGUGGUGGUCUGAUGUAGGUAGAUCUAAACUCUUGGAUGUGCCAUGCCAGGUGUUGAUCAAGACACUAAAUUUUGCAGAAGUCUUGUAUUAAUGCAGAGCUGUAUAAGGACCAGAUAUUUUGAUACCACUUUCCAGCAGAGGUGAGUAGAAAAUCUUUUCCCAACAGAUUCCACCUAAUCAGACCAUUUUUUUUUCUUCUUCAGCUUCACUUUCUUUCACACCAAUUGUUUUGCAGGUACUUUUCCCUCAUGUACCCUCCCCAUACAUAUCUUUACUUUCAUUUGUUAAGUCCAAACUAUAGUUGCAAAUGACAUAAAAUGAACCAACAGUUUCUCUUGGACAACAUUCCCUGGCUCUCAUACUCUGAAGAGUUUUGUUAAUGUUAGAAACAUCUGCUACUUGGUUUAAAUAAAAGAGUCUAAAAUUGGUGAUUACCAUUUCCCCUUUGAGUUCACACAAUGAUUGCAAAAUAUCUAGCCAUUCACAUGGAAGUUUGUCUUCUAAGUAUGCCAGUCCUUAGUGGAAAAAUCUCAUGGGCAGAGCUCAAAUUUAUGAGAGGAUAUAUAUGUUUAAGAACUAGCUGCUAUACCAUCAUCUAUAAUCAUCAUUCAGACCAAGAAUUUUCCUCUGUUUCAUGCAAGAAAGAUGCUCACGCAGCAUCCGUUACAUUCAGGCUACUCCUCAGGCACAGAAGUACUGGGCUUAGAAAUACUUCAAAUUUCUAAAAAAUAAUUUUGCAUUGAAAUAUGAAAUUCUGAAAAUUACUGACCCACCCUAGCACAGCAGAAGCAGUCAUUGAGAAGUGCCAUUGUAGCUUCAGAAAACUAAAUGUCUGGGAUUUGUUUCCCUGCAUAGUUUUGUCAGGACCUGACAUUUUAAAUACACUGAUUCUCAUAGACUUUUAAAGAAACAGAGAGUUCAUAAGCAGAGAACAGACACUGAAAGGUCUCGUGAUGUAGCUGGUGAAAAGCAUCUCUAUCUUAUUUUGGAUACUUAUUUAUUUAACAGUUUGGAAAGUGCUGUACUUUUUUUUUUUUUUUUUUAACGUCUCAUCCCCUGCUGUUACAUUUUGGAGAACGACUAAAUCUCUGGAGAGGGGUCAGAUCUGUAAAAAUUGUCAGUUGGUUAGACAGGGUAUUCCGUGAAUAAAUGAGCUAUUGUGCUGAAGUCCUUUAUUGGAUGUUCCUGUGGCACUGCUUUAGUUAAGUAUCUUGAAGAUAAGCAUUUAACAAUAUUACUUUAAAUUCAAAAUGCCUUGAAAGGGCUGAGAUUGAAUUUGCAAAUGUAAUCAAGGAUAAAAUAUGUGCCUUGGAUUACAUGUAACUUUUGGGGAUGUGUUGAUGUAACACAUUUAGAAAAUACUUUCCUGUGACUGAAAUGAUUUAAAUAGAUUUCAGUUAUCUAUGACUUGAAACAGAGUCAGUCCAGUUCUUGGUUAAUUUGCUCUCUGCAUCAGAGAAGGCACCAGCUGACAUGCUCACUUGUCUAUCAGCGUGGAGGCCAACUGCUUAAGGCUAAAGUGCUAUUGUGUUACUUGUGUGAGUAAUCCUAUUAGCAGCAAGAGAAUAUAGGCAUGGAUAAACUGUAGAAGUGUCAGAAGUGAGAAAAUAAUGUAACUCCCUUUUCAUUUCUAAAGACGAUUUGUGGAGUUAUUUUAAACAGACCUCUUGUGUGAUGGUACCGACAUCUGCAAAGCCUCCACCUUUUUACCUCCUCUCAGGGGCAGCAAAAUCAAACUAGCUUUUCCAUACGUAUUCUGAUAGUCACACUCAGAAAAGUACCGGGUACAUACUCAAAUCUAUCUGACAAUCUGUCCUCUUUGUUUCCAAAAUACCAAAUAUAAGGAUACACAGGAAAGUACUUUUCUCUGUAUCUAGGAUGAAAAAGUAUUUAUUCAAGAAAUUCAGUGUAUUAUAAAUUAGGACCAUGGAGCACUGUACCCAAAGAGCAACCAGGUACAUAAUGGAAAAUAUGCACCAGAACUUUAGUGUUAAAUCAAAUUUUAUUAAAUUCAUUCUUAAGUUAAUUACAGCUUUUCAGCAUAAAAUUUUAGCAUUCAAUGGAGAGUUAAUUUUUUUUUUUUGUUUAAGAUUUUAAUCCAAGUAGACAAAUCCUACCACCAAGUUAUGCUGAAAUUUGCCACUAAUGUUUGUGAGACUUGCAGAUAUCCAACAAUGGCUGUGUUGAGUUUACUAAUGAAAUGCCACACUGAAGCUUAUUCAGGAGGGCACAUAAGACUGCCUGUUACUAAUAACUUUCUCAGAGCAUUAUGGUUAGUUCACUGAUCAAAUCACCUGCCCAUUCAUCUAGGCCAGGCCAAUACCAGAAAAAGAAAAGAUUUUUACUUUUUGCAAUACACCUGUUCUCACUGCAUGAUAGGAGGAUUGUGAAAAUAGCGAGGGACAGAGGUAGAGCAUCCAUCAAAAUCAUAUUGUUUCAUACUCCAGGACACAUUUUAUGUAGCAGGAAUGGGACAAAGAGAAAAAAUUUGGUUGUUGUGAUUGUGAAAUUCAGAGCCUGAUUACAUAGCCUGAUGAUGACAUGGACCUCUGUUGUCACUUGGCAGUGAUUAUGUAUUCACCCUCUUAAUUAAUAAUUAUGGACAGGUUAUUAUUAGAUGAAGUUGUAGCGUAUCUGAAAAGAAAAUGAGUACUGACAUGUCAAGGACUCAGCUAAAAGGUGUUUUGUUUUCUCUUGCUUUAGUACUGGAUCUCACUGUUGAUCUGUUAUCAUUUUAGCUUCAUCACGUAAAACAAUAAGAUGAGCAAAGGCAGGUUCUCCUUCCCACAGCAUCCUGGGACUGGUACCAGCUACACAAGAUGACCGACAAGAGAUAGAGUACAGUUAAAGUGAGGUUAGAAGGCAAUCCCAGUACCAGCUAACCAUUGCACACCACUCCUGCUCAAACCCUUCUGCUUUUCAUGGAUUGUUGUCACAUUCACUGGGGGACAGAAAGCAACACCAGCCUCACUCCUUAGGCCAUUGGUUAGGGUGCUUAUGGGACCCAUACAUUUUAAAGUUUCAUGUGAGAAAAUAAAUUAGAGCCUAAUUGCUCACACCCCAGGGAAAAGGCACCGUCAGGUGUAUGUGUACAUUGUGGCGAACAGCACCAUCACCAAAUUUUGUCAGAAAGCAAUAUCUUUCAGCACUUUUCUGCUGGCACUGAUCUCAGAAGUGGAGCCUGUGUAUAAUGUUUUGCUGGCAACUCAUUGGGUGAGGCAGAUAAUGUAAGAUUUGUGCUAUGUAAGACAGAUACCAAUAAUGAGGAGGUAUGGUAACCAGUUCCUCUUCUUCUCCUAUGCUCCUCUGAGAAAGAAUAAAAAAAAUAGGAAGUGAACGCAAGUCCCACAAUUUAAGAUUGCUAUAAAACUUGACUUCAUCCACUUAGAAACAUUAAAACUCAAGUACUUUCCAGGAAAAUGGCUUCAGGAGACAGCAUUCAAUGCAUAAAAAGCUACACAAGUAAACUUCAAACAUGAAAGCACCAGAUCUUAAAGCUUGGAAUUUAAAACUGCAAAGUGCACAGAAAUAAAACCCUUAUGGAGACGCUAAAAUGUCUAAUUCAUUAUUAUUUCAAAAAAGAUUAAAAAAUAAUUUCUUAACAUUAAAGUGCAAUCAAGCACUGAAGAAAUUAUUUAAACUUUCCAUAGGAAAAAAACACACUCUAAAAUGCUGCAAGGGUAUUGAUGGCUAUUAAAUAUUUACUUUUCUCUCUAGCUCACACUAGAAAGAGUAAUUUGUAUUUGGCAGAAACUGGCUGCAAUUACAUUAGUCAAUCCAAAAGCCCAACUUGCUCAUGCAAAAUGCAAACAAAUUAGUUAAAAUGGUCUAAUUAGCAGACUGUAAAAAUGCAAAGCAAGGCUGGCAUAAAAAUGUGUGCUAGACAAGUAUACUUUCACAAAAUAAACAGAAAGGCAAAUAUGAAAUAGCCUAAUAAAUCCUAACUAAAGGACCAUAAUGCAAAACCGAAUAUUCGAAUAUUUAGGGUUUGCAUGCUUUAAAGAAAAGUUUCUGUGGACUGUUAAACAUUUUCUUGCAGCCCAUAUUUGGUCAUGAAAACAUGAUUGAUAGCAUAGAUGAAGUUCUACUGCGAUUUGAGUUUACUGCUGUGGAGUCUUGUGAGGGCAGGUUAUAUAUACAUACGUUUUGUGUGGGUAUACACACAAACACAACUCCUAGUGAAGUUAAUUGGAGUGCAAAGUAGCUUUGGAGAAUGCAAAGAAUAUAGGAAGUGAUCUAUGGAAGGAAGGCCAAGACAUUUAUUUACAUGUUCUGUAUUUGUUUUUGUUUCCACAAUUAAAAUAAAUAACUGGAAGCAUAUGGAAAUAUGGAAAGAGUUAACAUAAAAGAUUUGUUCUUACAGGAAGUAUAAACCAUGGACGUUAUCCAUGAGGACUCAGAUUAUUGUUUAAAAAUGAUCACUACAAUAACUGUUUUAUUGUUGUCAUUGAUAUAUUAGACAAAAAAAGUCUAACAUCUCUCGUUUCAUAACAUUGUUACAGUUUCUUAAUCUGUGGAUUUUUACAUACUAAGGAUAUGAUAGUCCAUUAUGAUUUGUAAACUAUCAUAUAAAAGAAGCUAUUGUGAAGUCAUGAUCUGAAUUUGAGUCCAUAACUUUCUCACCUCACCACAUGUUCUUCUGUCCUUCAAAAUGCCUAGCUGUCUGGAGCCACAUUCUUUCUUCUUGCCACUUGACAGAUGGCAGAAGGUGGGUGGCUUUGGCAAAAUUAAUUAGAGACGCAUUUAAGUAACAAUAACCAUGAACACCCUUGGACAAAAAUAUGAUGUUGUUUGGCACAAAGAACCUUUGUGUGAAAGUCUUGCAACAGCAGAAAUCUCCUGACUACCCUGAAGAAGAGGUCACCCAAUAGCAAGCAAUCCUUGGCAAAAGGAGAGCAGCAUGGCCACGAGGUGUGGUCAUUACCACCAUUACUACUUCUAACACAUCACAGCUGACUCAUUCAGUUAUUUUCACUGAAAUAGUUGAUUGCGUCACAUUCACUCCCCCACACUAUCCCCAGUUCUGCAGAUUGCCUCACUGUGCCACAUAUGUUCAGUCCAUCAUUCUUUCUCCUGUAUAGUAUUUAGUGGAAGGAUCUCUCACCCUACAAACUAUCUCUGCUGAUUUCACUGCCAUUGAAGUAGUAAGAUAUCUGUGAAUGUAAGAACUAAGUCAAGUGGAGAUAUCUGAAAAAUAAGGAUACUUUAUGGUGAAGAUUAAGUAACAGUGUCCUGUAAUCUUUUAUUUGACUUAGUGCUUGACAAACAGCUUUGAGAAUGGUAAAAAUAGCAAGCCAUAUCACAGAAAUUAUCUCACCCGUCACCACAUAUUCCUAUCUCACAAAAUUUUCCCUAUACUAGGAAAUUUGAAUCCCACUAAGCUCCCCCAUGACGACUGGAUAAACCAAGGAUGCCUGAUAUAUGAGGAAGAAAAGUUAUUGCUGGCAUCCAAAAGGCUAGUUAAGGGAAUCAAGCUGUGAGGAAAGAAGUCUCACCAUAUUGGAGAGUUCCAUCAUGUGGGAAAAAAGUUCCAUCAUGUUGUCCCAUCAUGUGUUGCUCCACAGGUGUCAUCGAUGACAGAGGGGAGAGAGGAUGGCUGCUCCAUCUCUGCUAUGAUCAUGCUAGCACAUCCAAGUACAGUGGUUGCUCCCUCCUUGCAGAAGUCACAGGACUGAAGUGCAAAAUUCAACACAACUCUCCAAGCUGGUCAUUACAACGUUGGCAUCCUGUGUUUUGCUGUUGUUGCCACUAAAGGCACGUGCAGCAAACUGAGGUGAGUUAAUCAACUUCCUGCCUGGCACACUGGUUUGUUCAUUCUUCUCUAUAUGUGCUGGCAGCUCUGUUAUCCCCUAGUUGCCAAAUACUAGGAAAGGUGUAGAUAGCUGAACUUCUACAGUUCGCUAGAGAGGCAGAUGGGCUGGGAGGAGUAUGUUUCAGCCUGGUGUACCUCAGCCUACUUCUGAAAAUCUUGCCAUCUUAUCACGAAGACCAAAUCACCUGGUUGAACAGCCCAAGAGGAGACCUGACACAUUCCUUACCACCUAACUCUGCUGGGAAUAACAGUGCAGUGUCUAUCCGUAAACCAGCCUCAUACAUAAGUCAUCCUGCUUUCAUGGAAAUCUUGACUCCAAAUCUACUUCAGUGGAGAGACUUCCCCUAGGUUCAGAGACUUUGGCUUGUGCACAGAUUGCAUCUGGUUGCCUCUGUUUUUAGUGAAAGAGGGAUGGAUAGGGUAACGAGAGGAAUGAUACACAUACGCAGUUACUCUAGCCCUAGUAAGCCUGUGUAAAGAGGUGUGAGUAGUGAGGAAAGGGUUGAGACCCUGCAGGAAACCUGAGCAGGAGAAGGUAUUGGAUGGGAAAGUGGAUGAAUGAGAAAGUAAACACAACAACAAAGGUAGGGAAGGUGACAGAGAAACAGAAAAUGAAAGCAAAAAGAACAUAAGAACUGUGUCAAUAAAUAAUGUGGAAAGAAGAAAAUAAAAAUGCCAAGGAAUACUAAUUGUGUAUUUCAUUGCCUAAAACAACAUUUGUAGCUGCAGUAUGACAGUACAAAUCUGAUUUGAUUUCAUAGAUAAACAUGGCAUGUUCACCGUUGGGAAAAGCAGGAGGGGAACAAAUAAGGAAGAAACAAUAAAUGGUCGGCUUUCUCAAGGAAAAGAGGUUACUGCUGGAAACCCACAGGAACCUGGGCUGAGAUCUAUAUUAACACAGAAUUACUCAAGAUAGAGAAACUAAAACUUAUGUGGAUAAUUAAAAAAACUGAGUGUCUGGUUAAUAAAACAGAAGUCAAUAAAUUCUAGUUUAGUAAUGACAAUGGAUACAGGGAAAACAAAUACAUCUACAUGAUGAUGAGCACUAAAUUAGCUAUUUCAUCUCAGGAAACACAUCUUGGAGAGCCUGAUAAGGAUAUCAGGCUGGUGCUCAGCAUCAGCAAAAGCAGUUAAGGAUUAUUAUGAAAAUACAAGAAAACAAUUCAGAAACUAUUCUGCUGACAUAUAGCCUGUGGUGUACAGUCACCUCAUCUCGAAAACAAUAUAAGUAAAUCUAGACAAAUACACUGAAAGGCAGAAAAAAUGAUCAGCUCCAUUGAAUUGCUUCUAAAGGAGGACUGUUUAAAUAGAAUAAGAUUUCUGUGUGGACAAGAAAUGACCCAAUGCUAACAUAGGAUGUUAUUUCUUCAAGAGACACAGAGAAGAUAAACAUGAAAGAUUAUUAGCUAUUUAUCACAAGGCAGUGGUACACCAGAAAUUAUCAGGGAUGAAACUGAAUUAGAGAGAGUAUUUUUUCCCAGACCGAGUUGCUGAAGUGUGAGACUCAGUGCCACAAGAUGCUGCAAAGGCUUAAGUAAACUUGGAAAAGACUCAGUACAUUCAUGUCAGGCAAGCCCUGUCACAGCUAUUGAAUGCGGCGUUCAGAUGCAAUAUAUGGGUGUAUAAUAGCAGUAAGUGAUGAACCACUGUAUAGUUGCUUCGGUUUUCUGGAAGCAGAAUAUUGGGAUUUUUUUUCUUUUUAAUCCGAUCUGAAUAAUCUUUUUGAUAGUCUGUGAAAUACAAACUAGAAGAGAAAAUACAGUGCUUUUAUCUUUGCAGGGGAUACAGAGUAGCUUUAAGGGAUCUGAGCUAAGUAGAGUGCUGUGGGAGAAAAAAGCUUGAUUCAUUUUUUUCCCGAAGAGAAAGCAGCUGCUUUACCUUCGGCUCUGUUGUAGUUCGGGGAACCUGCUGUACCAGACCAGUCUCACAUCAUUUCGUGUCCUAAUUUCACAAGUCCUCUUUUCUUUGUUGGUCUCAUUAAUGUUAUGCUACUUAGUAAAAAAAUCAGUGUUAAACUGCACACACGUAUACAGGAUUGUUAAACUAACUCUUGUUCCCUAACUCUAAAACACAACAAUUUUUCCUUCGCUACUGUGCGGAUCAAGCAGAUUUAGAGUUUGUGAAGUGAGCAUAACUUACACCAGAUUUACGCUGGAAUAAUUUUUGUUCUUGAGCUUUUGUAGACAUAUAGUCACUACAGAACUGUCUGCCUACAGGAGUUUUUAUGCAUAUUUCAUCUAAAUCAAUGCUCCAAAUGCAACACUGAAGAUGCAGAGAGUUUGUGUGGAUUUGUAGCACUCCCUGGAGGACUUUAUGUCUAAAAACCAAUAAAUAUUUCACAGUCCUCAGUAAGUGAAGAUUUUAAUAAUUUUUGAUGCAUGCAAUAUUGACUGGGUUUCUCAUUUUAAUUUCAGUAUUUUUCCACGGGAAAUAAGUAAUUGGAGAAAAACUUAUUGCAAGUGAAUGACAAAAGUGAAAAUUAAUCUUUCUAUACUUAGCUGCUGCUGUUUAUUCAUUACAAACCACCGCAGCAAAACAAAAUAUCCACUUAUAAACAAAAUGCAUUUCAUAUUGAUUGAAAACUACAGCGGGAUCUUGACAUUUUAUGAUCAAAACAUGCAAAAAGAAAACAUAAAGAAACAGUUAUUUCAUUUUUGUAUAUAUGUUUCUUUGUGUUUGUACACCCAGUGUAAGUGUCACAGCUUCAGCUGAAAAUAGUUAAUUCUUCAUAAAAAUUAUUUUUACAAUUUGUAAGUCUCUGUGGAGAUAAAAAUUCCUAAUUAUUACCCUGGAGUCAGUUGAUAGAAAGGACUGACUGAAUAAGGGGUCAAGAUCCCAAAUUUAUUCCUUAAUCAGCAAGAUGCUGUUUCUAGAAAGAAGUGACUAUGGUGGCCACGAAAUGUUUCUGAAAGGUUGGUCAGAAUCCAUCACUGCAGGUGCAGAACUGCAAACAUACUGAUGGUGUGUGUGGCCAGUGUUUACAGAGGUCUAUGAAUAAUAAAUAAUCUAGAUAAAUAACCAUAGUUAGAGCUAUGCAAACAAGAGAGCAAAUAAAUCAAGGCCUCCUGCUCGUGCAUAGAUACAAAACACAGCACUUCUGCAGGUUUUUUCUUUGUUUUGUUUGUUUAAAUAAGAGACAGUGGACACAAAUUUAAUCGACUAAAAAUUAAGUUAGUAAGCAGUAUUUUGGAGAUCACAAAGUGGAUCAAGCCCUCUAUCAGAGACUUGGUACUCACAGUAACCAGGGGCAAGUGGGUUGCACCUUGCAUAUGUGAACUGCCUUGCAGACUGCAUCAUUUCACUUCUGCAGCUGGUAUAAAGCAGUAGCAUGGUCCAGACAGAAGAUCAUCUAUGACUACUAACACACAGUGUUGGAAGUAAAGGAGAUUCAAGAGCAAAAGUGAAAAGGUCUAUGUUAUUUAUUUUUUUUUCUCAAGAGAAUUUAAUUUUUAAUUUCAUAUUAAAUUAAAUAUGUGGGUAAAAGCCACUCUUUUAAAUUGAUAUUGUUAUUUUUGAUGCAUUAAGAAGGAGAAAAGACAAGUAUUGUGUUCAUUGUUUGUCCGUGUAAUUGUCUAUGUAAGCAAUAUUUAAUAUGAAAAGAGGAAAUACAGGGACUACAUGUCAAGUGCCUGCUUCAUUGUGUUAUCUUGUUCAGCAUUACUACUGGUUCUGUGCUAGUAGACUAGUUGUGAAAUGGGUAUUUCAGUAUCCAGAUAAGUGAAAUACACUUAUUUCAUAAUUCUUUAUAUUAUUUCCAGGAAUUUCUGCAGUAUAAAUCACUGCCACUUUAUAUCUAAAUUUGAUACUAUCCUUUUGCAUCUUGAGGCUCCUUACAUCCCCACAAAUACCAAUAUGUGUGCAGUAUGAAUCACACAGAAAGAGUCUAGCCUAAAGCAGUACCACUGUGUUGCCUACUCUGCAAGGGGGACUCUCCACACAGUGUCUUACACCUUGGUGCAGCAAAGAAGCUUUAGGGAAUUCUUGCACAUAUUCCGGGCAAAGGAAUGGAAAAGUUUAAUGUGAGACAUAGUUUUCCAUUUUUGUGCUGUAAUUUUAAACAUUAGGCAACAUCCAAUUGCGCAAUGUGUAGGAUUCAUUAAUGUAUUUUUCACACCAGCUAACUGAGCGCUUCAGGAGUACCAAUGCAUUUGCUGAUAAAUGUACUGUCAUUUUUAAAGAGAACAUACAGCUGUGCAAAAGGUCACAAGCAAUGGUUUCCACCUACUUCCAAAUGCCACCUCCUUUUUGGUGAAACAAACUCCCUGCAGCAGGCUCUCCCCUCCAUGGCCAGUGACAGCUGUGUCCCACUCCAGGUAUGGUUGGAAGGUUGGAUGGUUUUUAUCAUGAAGGGACACAGAGAGGAUUCCUGAUCUUCCACUGCAUGGCACUGAAAGGGAUGAAUUAUGAUCUCAACACCAUGGAGGCUGUGCACUGGCAGCGGGCACUGGGCUCUUUGAGAUCAUAGGAACCCCAAUAGCGUUGGUGUGGCAGGUUCUAGGGGAAGAAACUGCCACCAGAGCAAGAAUAACUCCCUCCUCUUCCAUCCACUUCCUACCCUUUGGUUGUAGCUUUUGGUUUACAUCAAGGAACUCAACACUAUGCAUAUAAAGAGCUCACCAGCCAACCAACCAUGCAGCACCUGCCCCUGCUCAAAGCUUGCACUGUAAAUAGGAGGAAUCAGUGGGGUGUUUGCGUGAGUCCUGAUCAAAAAUAUGUAGUUGCUGUAGGGAAAAUAUGGUUUUGGAACAACCUGGUGCCCCAGCUAGGAUGCCUGAGGAUGAUGCUCACCUCAGGAUGCCUGCAACAGUUUCUCCUCCCAGUUUGCCACUGGGGAGAGUUUUCCCUUUCCUCCUCUUUUUUUUUUUUUUUAAUAAUAUAAUUUUUUCCUCUGUCAUUGUUGAUAUUGCCAUCAGCUAUGGAUCCUGCUAAUAAAUUUUCAUUUGUGUGAAUAUGUCUCAACAUCCUUUGUGCAACAUGCCAGUUCUAACAUGUCUACUCUCUCAGCAAGUUAGAAAAGUUAAACACCACUUUUUGGCUAGGAACUGAAAGGAAAUCGUUAAGAUUUUGGGACAGUAGGUGACAUCCAUCUGUGUACAGAAAAACUUGGAUGAAACACAGUAGGCAGCAAGAUGUCACCUGGCUAAGAGAGUGGGUCUGAACUGGGUCCUAUAGAGGUUUUAAAAUACAAAGUUAAUAGUGUAUUUCUCCUUAGAUAUAGGAAUAACAUUCACACAAAAAUGGCACAGCGUAAAUGUUUUAAGGUAUUUGAAAAUGUAUUUUAUAGCUCUGGGUUUUUCAGUCUUUUCCUCCAGAAGUGAGCAUCAAUGUUCAGUGGCUGAGGAUCGAAAGUGAAAGCAGAUACUCUGAGACCUAACAAACAUUGGUCCCCAAAACUACUGAGGACACUAGAUGCUUGGAUAGAUCACAUUUCCUUUGAAGUCAAAGAUGAUUUUGUAAGCACUUGUCACUGGAGACCGAGAGACUCUAUCCCCUGGCUCUCCCCUUCUCUCCUUGUGAAGGCUGAGGGGAGGAAGUAGGCUGUUCCAAAUUACUGUCAAUGUAUAAAAAGCCAAGUAUUAAUAUCA